rnacentral:lncRNA from 1 species
CUUCGCGGCUGCGCGCUGCCGCCCGCCAGCGGUGCUGCUCAUCAGCGAGCUGGACGCGCUGCUGCCCGCCCGGGACGACGGCGCGGCCGCCGCGGGCGCGCUGCAGGCGCCACUCCUGGCCUGCUUGGAUAGCGGCUGCGGCGCAGGGUCCGACGGCGUGCUGGUCGUGGGCACCACCUCGCGUCCCGCGGCCCUGGACGAGGCGACCCGCCGGCGCUUCGCUCUCCGCUUCUACGUGACGCUGCCCGACGGCCCGGCCCGCGGGCAGAUCCUGCAGCGGGUGCUGGCCCAGCAGGGCUGCGCGCUGAGCGAGCGGGAGCUGGCGGCCCUCGUGCAGGGCACCCAGGGCUUCUCUGGGGGCGAGCUGGGGCAGCUGUGCCAGCAGGCGGCGGCCGGGGCGGGCCUCCCGGGGCUGCAGCGCCCCCUCUCUUACAAGGACUUGGAGGCGGCGCUGGCCAAGGUGGGCCCUAGGGCUUCGCCCAAGGACCUGGACUCCUUCGUGGAGUGGGACAAAAUGUACGGUUUCGGACACUAAUGGCGCGCCGGGAGGCCGUGGGAGCCACUGCCCCUUCCCCGCCCCCUCUGUUCGGGAGAGCCGGCUUUAACCCCUCCGGGCUGGGGGGUAGCGGAGUGAGGGAUGUGGGGUGGAGGACAAGUGUGGGCUGCCGGUGGGUUCUUGUUUUUUUUCGUGGGAAGGAAAAUGCUUCUGCUAGGCAGAUAGAUGCCAUAUGCGCUGUGUACUCAGGUUUUUCCUAUUUAUUGUGGACGGGAAGCUCGCCAUCUCCGCCCCGCGGACGCCGGCCCGGGGCCUAAGGAACUCCUGCUCUCUCGCCACAAUCCUUUUGUCCCCUCGCUCUCUGAAUGGCUCCCUCCCCCUCCCCCACUUCCCCGUUUCUCUGCCUGUAGUUUUCUUUCCCCGUCGCUUUGUCACAGAACGUACCCCUCCCCACCCCCCGCGCUGGCCCAGUUUCUCUUUUGCCCCUCCCUCCUCUGUCUCUCCAUCUAUCACCCUCUGUGUCUCUGUCUCCGUCCCUUGCUCUCCAGCCUCUCCUGGUCUUUUGGUUCCUCGCCCCGCUUCUGCCCCUUUCAAUCUGACUGCAGUGUCCCUUUGCAGAUCUGGAGGCUGAGCAGCAGGAGAUACGCUAGGAGAGGUGUUGGAAACUUGCUAAGUUUGAGACGGCUGUUCCUGGGGAGGCAUUUCAGUGUAAGGGCCCCGGAUCCUAACUUCUUGGGGGACCGAGUCCCAACCCACCCAAAUCCCCGGGUGUUGGGACAUUCUCACUCGAGUCCUUGGGUUUUGUGAGACCGCCCCCCCCCCGCCCCUCCUAAUUCCUAGUUUCUGGGAGUUGGGAGCUCCUCCUCCAAUAAAAAGUCGCCUGUGUUGGAGGCCCGGGUUCCU